AAUAGUUCCAGUAAUCAAUUUCACUGUCACCGAAACAGAGUAAGUGAGGGCGAGAACCUGAUUCAGAGGGAAGAGAGAUCUCAUCACCGAAACCCUAAGUUCACUGUCACCGUCAUCAUCGCCGCGCCGCCUUAGGUCAUCUCCACCCUCCAAAUCGGCGCCUCCGCCUCCCCUGACAUCUUCCUCCACCUCCUCCCCUCCCGCUUUCCAAUCUCUGCAACCUCCAUAUCCACGAGUGCCUCUCUAUUCUCCUUCCCCUCUCUCUUCCCGUUCCUGCUGGAAGCCGCUCUCUCAAGGUGCAUUGUGUUGCCGACAACACCUCCUUCGCCAUUUGAGAUGAAAGCAAGAUUGUCAGGUGGUCAUUUCAGGAUGAUUAACGAAAAGCUCUGCACUUGCAUGUAUGUACUAUUAUUCGCUCUUUCACUCAGUGGGAAGGAGACACUAAAUUAUUUCCAAGAAGAACCAUCGCUAUUUGACCUGUGAGGAAAGCAGCUGAAUUAGAUCUUGAAGGGACAAGUGCUAACCCACUUUGCUUCAUUUUCUAAGUGAGUUUAUUGGUUCUAUUGGACAAUGCAAAAUGGGCAUAUGUGGGAGGCUUCACAGAAGAUAAACAGGUUUCCCCAGCCGGUGGCAUGUGAAAGAACAAGGCAGACAUGGAAGUGAAGUGUGAAAGUCAACACUGUAAUACUGACUGAACUGAACUCAGCAGAGCUAACUAGUUUAAGAAUCUUUCUUCAAUCUCCAAUCAUGUAAGUCUUUCUCUUCCUUCUCCUUUUCUGUCUCAUUGAUGAGCGGAUAAUUUAUACACUUUUUGGCAUUGUUUUUACAUAGUUUUUAGUAUGAUUUAGUUAGUUUUUAAUAUAUUUUUAUUAAUUUUUAAAU